CCUGAUCCAGCCAUGCCGCGUGAGUGAAGAAGGCCUUCGGGUUGUAAAGCUCUUUCGGACGGAAAGAAUCGUGCUUCUAUACAGGGCCAUGGAUGACGGUACCGUAACUAAGAAGCACCGGCUAACUACGUGCCAGCAGCCCGCGGGUAAAUACGUAGGGUGCGAGCGUUAAAUCGGAAUUACUGGGGCGUAAAAGCGUGCGCAGGCGGUGAUUGUAAGACAGAUGUGAAAUCCCCGGGCUUAACCUGGGAACUGCGUUUGUGACUGCAUCACUUAGAGUACGGCAGAGGGGGGUGGGAUUUCCUGGGGUAGCAGUGAAAUGCGUAGAAGAUCGGAGGAAACACCCGAUGGGCGAAAGGCAGCCCCCCUGGGCCCUGUACUGACGCUCAUGCACGAAAGCGUGGGGGAGCAAAACAGGAUUAGAUACCCCUGGUAGUCCCACGCCCCUAAAACGAUGUCAAACUAGUUGUUUCGGUGAGGAGACUGCACUGAGUGACGCAGCUAACGCGUGGAAGUUCGACCGCCUGGGGAGUACGGCCGCAAGGUUAAAACUCAAAGGAAUUGACGGGGACCCGCACAAGCGGUGGAUGAUGUGGAUUAAUUCGAUGCAACGCGAAAAACCUUACCUACACUUGACAUGUCUGGAACCUUGGUGAGAUGGCUUGGUGCUCUUCAGAGCCCUGCACACGUGUGCUGCAUGCUGUGUCGUCCUCUCGUGUCGAGAUAUGUUGGGUUAAGUCCCAAACGAGCGCCACCCUGUGUCUUUAUUGCUAUCUUUGAUUUGGGCUCUUUUGAGACUCUGCCGUGACAAAACCGAGGGAGGGUGGGGUGUGACGUCAAGCCCUCAUGCCUUUUGGGUUAGGCUUCCACGUCCUACAAAGUGUUCGUUACGAAGGUUUGCCAAGCCCCAAGGUGGAAGCCAAUUCCUAAGGCGAUUCGUAGUCGGAUCUGAAGUCUGCCACUUCGACUCCAUGAGUCGAUCCUAGUAUCGCUGAAUCACAUGCUGCGGUGAAUACGUUCAAGCUUGUACAACCGCCGU
rnacentral:rRNA from 1 species